AGCCAAACAUUAUAACAGUUAGGCUGGUGGAGUCUUCAAAAUGAAACAAACCCUACCAAGUGUAGUCUUAGGUGCUACAUUACACGGAAGAAAUAGAAGAGCACCUCAGAGACUUCCAACUCUUUGUGGCAAGGAAUACUGAGCCCCAACCCCAAACAGUUUGAAUCAAACCCCAAACGAGGGAGCAAUGAGAAAUUUAGCACAUCGGUUUUCGUUCGACUCGAAUGCAAAACCAACAUUGUUCAGGAUCCUGUAUCUGAGUAAUGGUAGCAGUGUAGGACUUGGAUUGAAGAGUUUAUUUGUAUUACACGGGAAUGCUACAGCGUCUGUGAAAAAACAUUGAACUGCAGCCUGGAGACAGUUAUUAAAUUGAUAAAGAAAAAUGUCUGGUUCAUCUCAUAGAGAUCCUCAGAGACAACAUACGGAGGGAUAUUUGAUGAAACAUUUAUGUCCGACUUACACUUGCUGAAGAGCCCUCCAGAUGGAACCACCAACAACCGACAAUGGGAUAUUGGAAAACCAAUCGCGGGGCAGAGAAGCUGCACAGAACCAUCAAAGCAAACCCAAGCACAGGUCAGCAAGGACGUAUCUUCAACACACAUUACUAGCUCUGAUAUUAAUUUAUUGGACUUUUUUUUGUAAGUAUAGAUAUGUUAUGUAGAGGAGCUUACUAAACUUAUAUUCAGACUCUAUAUAUAGAGCCUUAAGUCUCAAUAACAUCAUUGGCUCUUGCACCAUAAUGGUGUAAUUUUUUUUUUAAAUUACCAUAAUGAUGAGUAUAUUUUUAAAAAAUUACGAAUAUGGGUAAAUCGUGUUUUGAAUUACGAUUUCCCUAAGAAGUAAGAACUAUUUCUUUAUUUGUGACCUCACUUACAUCUCUCUUCAAUGGAGGUUGUGGAGCUGCCAGCAUAGACCCCAAAAGGAGAAGAAAAAAGGGGAAAGAUGGAGUCUUGCACACACAUUUUCAAAUGGGAAACUUAGAUGAGACAGACUUUGAAAGAAUGGAUCAGGAGAUCACUGAAUGCAUCAAUUGAAGUGUGCUUCUUUGAUGUUAGGAUUUACACAUCAAGAUUUAGAGUCUAGUUCUUCUGAAUCUUGUAGACAUUAAGAAAGAAAAGAGUGUCACUUUGAAAGCUGAUGUGCUUCCUGGUCUGUUGACUCGUAUUUGAGUGCUGCCAUUGGUGCAUCUGAAUAGUUGUCUCCUUCGAAAUGGGUAGCACGAUGUCAAAAGAAGCCUCUAAGCGCCAAUCCAAAACGAGAAGUUUCAGAUAACACUAGUCUUCCGCAGAAAAAGAGGACUGUUCUCAGAAUUGCAUACAGGAAAAAUGAGCUCCAACGAUUUCAAACAAGAAAACAUUUUAUUUUACACAUCUUAUAAUUGCUGUUGUUGGUCUUGAACUAUAUUGGUGGAAAUGUACUAUCUUUCAUUAGAAAUUUUUGUGUCUGUCAUGCUAAGAAAAGCAAGCUGGCUAAGAAUGCUCCACUUCAUGUUUCCACCAAAGUGGUUGCAUCUGUGGCUGUGGAACUACCACAACUUCAACUUGACUCAAACACAGAAGUUAGACCAGAAGAUGCUAUGUAUCAGUUAAUUCGGAAGACAAUGCACUUCGUGAGUUCCUUGUGUCUUCCGAAUUAGUAUUUGUACUAUGGAGUUUGAGUUUGUUUUGAAACACUUAAACAUCUGGCUUCCUUGGUGUCUUCGGUCUGAAGAGCCUAAAGCAAAAUUAAAAUGGUCACCAUAAUGUAAAUGGUGCACCAUUACCCCUUACACUAGUGACUAAUAUUCAAUGGUCUUGCAAAUACAGUAUCUCUUGGAAGACACUUAUAUAAGUUUAGUACACUAAUGUUUGUAUUCAGCCAAAAAAGAUAAGCAAACUAAUGUUUGCUUGGUGUAACAGAAAAAUACAAAAUACAGACAGGAAGUUGGUUAGUGCGUCUGCUUUGCAAGUUAGAAGUGUAAUGUUUUUCUAUUAAACACAUUCUUUCACAAAUUGUAAAGUAUAUUUGAAGCAUUUAAGCUUUCA